AAUCAACGCUGGCGGCGUGCCUAACACAUGCAAGUCGAACGAGAAAGUGGUAGCAAUACCAUGAGUAAAGUGGCGCACGGGUGAGUAACACGUGACUAACCUACCUUGGAGUUCGGAAUAACCUCGGGAAACCGGGGCUAAUACCGGAUAACACCUACGGGUCAAAGGAGCAAUUCGCUCUGAGAGGGGGUCGCGGCUGAUUAGCUAGUUGGCAGGGUAAUGGCCUACCAAGGCGACGAUCAGUAUCCGGCCUGAGAGGGCGCACGGACACACUGGAACUGAAACACGGUCCAGACUCCUACGGGAGGCAGCAGUGGGGAAUUUUGCACAAUGGGGGAAACCCUGAUGCAGCAACGCCGCGUGGAGGAUGAAGGUCUUUGGAUUGUAAACUCGGUUCGAACGGGACGAUAAUGAC
rnacentral:rRNA from 1 species